rnacentral:rRNA from 1 species
UACGGAGGGUGCAAGCGUUAUCCAGAUUCACUGGGUUUAAAGGGUGCGUAGGUGGGCAGUUAAGUCAGUGGUGAAAUCUCCGGGCUUAACCCGGAAACUGCCAUUGAUACUAUAGGUCUUGAAUUAUCUGGAGGUAAGCGGAAUAUGUCAUGUAGCGGUGAAAUGCUUAGAUAUGACAUAGAACACCAAUUGCGAAGGCAGCUCACUACACGAAUAUUGACACUGAGGCACGAAAGCGUGGGGAGCAAACGGG